rnacentral:rRNA from 1 species
UACGAGGGGGGCGAGCGUUGUUCGGAAUUAUUGGGCGUAAAGGGGUGCGUAGGCGGUCGUUCAAGUCGCGUGUGAAAGCCCCCGGCUCAACUGGGGAGGGUCGUGCGAUACGGUCGAACUGGAGGCCAGUAGGGGGAUGCGGGAAUUCCGGGUGUAGUGGUGGAAAUGCGUAGAGAUCCGGAGGAACACCAGUGGCGAAGGCGACACGCUGGGCCGUACCUGGACACUGAUGCGCGACAAGCAUGGGGAGCAAACAGGG